AUUGAACGCUGGCGGAAUGCUUUACACAUGCAAGUCGAACGGCAGCACGGACUUCGGUCUGGUGGCGAGUGGCGAACGGGUGAGUAAUGUAUCGGAACGUGCCCAGUCGUGGGGGAUAACGUAGUGAAAAUUACGCUAAUACCGCAUACGAUCUAUGGAUGAAAGCGGGGGAUCGCAAGACCUCGCGCGAUUGGAGCGGCCGAUAUCAGAUUAGGUAGUUGGUGGGGUAAAGGCCCACCAAGCCAACGAUCUGUAGCUGGUCUGAGAGGACGACCAGCCACACUGGAACUGAGACACGGUCCAGACUCCUACGGGAGGCAGCAGUGGGGAAUUUUGGACAAUGGGCGAAAGCCUGAUCCAGCCAUUCCGCGUGCAGGAUGAAGGCCCUCGGGCUGUAAACUGCUUUUGUACAGAACGAAAAGGUUUCUACUAAUACUAGGAGCUCAUGACGGUACUGUAAGAAUAGGCACCGGCUAACUACGUGCCAGCCGCCGCCGCGG
rnacentral:rRNA from 1 species